GGACAACAAAAACGUGUUUAGGCCGCUCAGACAAUUCUGCUUCUAAACAGAGGCUUACCGUGACGAGCUUUAGGCGAUGCAAUAACCAGACUAAUGCUAUCAGAGACAGAAGGCAUCCUAAUACUCAAUGCUUUCACGAUUGGAAGCUAACGUUAAUUUUAACGCUGUGCUGGACGGACAAAAACGUUCUCUGAAAGACAUUGCUUUAAAUUAUCUUUUUUUGCUAGCUGAAGAGAAAGUUCACGUGAAGUCUCGCAACUUUGCGAUAACUCGAGCGGGAUAACUGGCGCGUGCAGGUAAACCUGUUGCUUCGGAAUCAGAUUUAGCUGAUCUCGAGGCGCUGUACGUGCCAAACCCACACACAGCUGACGUCACUGGGUAAAAACGCAAACAAACGCAGAAAUGGAAGGAAUGCUUCCUUGGGAAUGUUGGACGUACGGCUGGGCAUCUCUGUUUACGUCGUGGCACAGAACUGAGCUUUCCCUGCUCAUGUGACCUUAGAGGACUCUUCUGAUCUCAACUCUGCUGCUGUCCGUCAGGGAAGCACCGUCGGUAAUGCGCUCCUACUCACCGAGUGAGAAUCAGUAAAUCGGUACCGGCGAGAGCUCAGUUCUGCUGCAGAGACUGUUGGUACAGACUCAGUUUUGACUCCUGGCCUGUCGUGCGGGUUACAUCACUAUGGUAAUCUAAGACAAGGCAGCAAAAGGCUAUAUGGGGAUGUGCGUUUGUAACGCAGCAAUGAUCACUGCGGUGUGGCUGAAUUUGAGUUUGGAGGACAGACACUGAGUGCAGUGCAUUUCUCUGCUACGUCUCAGCUUGAUUGAUCACAGGACAGAGUUUACAGUUGCAGUCUGGCAGGAUGAUGUGGAGAUCGAGACCUACCUGCUGAAGGGGAAGAGGGAUAAGAUCUGGAACGCGCAGACUGACUGCCCACGGUUCGAGGCCCAGUACAUUAGCAAGACUCCACCAACUGCACCCCGAACAGCCCUUCAUGAAGAGAGCUGGUCCAGUGCACACGCUCUGAGGUGGGGUGACCCUCUUCCCAUCUGUGACAGGUGAAGAUGAGGAAGAUGUGAAGUCUAUCCAUUCCUGCCGCGUGGACAUGGUAAUGUCUGGCAAUUCUCUGGAGUAGUCAGUGGAGGAGGGAUGGGCAGAGGAGACAUCCAUCACUAGGCCUGUGUCUGUCUAUGUCUCAUUAUAACAAUGCAUCUUAGGAUGGUGGUCUCCAGGACCCUCACGUUACCUUGGUUUCUCAGGAAUUUGAGGGCUGGGAUGCCAUCAUGCAAUCUCCGGAAGUUUCCUGUGACUCCUGUUGCUCAGGGAAGAGCAGAAUGUGCUCCAUGUCCUGAGGGAAACACCACCAGGGAUGCCAGUCAUGUUAAUGCUGCCCUGCACUUGGCUAACAGUAGUGUGUAAGCACCUUGAAGUUAUACUUAAGCAUCUCAGUAAAUGCACUUAGAUCCAGUCUACAGUCGUUGUUUCUGAUGUGGGUAAUGACUUAUUAAAAUUGGGCAGUAUGUCUAAUUUGUUGAGAGGUUCAAUAUUUUAAAUAAAAUCAAUAUGGACAA